rnacentral:rRNA from 1 species
CUGGUGUUGAAGGCCCUGCAAAGCAGCAUCGCGGUGGCGGAGCGUCGUUUGCGACGCCCAACACACAAAACAAGCGGUGAAUGCUUUGGGGUGGGGUGACUGCGUACCUUUUGUAUAAUGGGUCAGCGACUUAUAUUCUGUAGCAAGGUUAACCGAAUAGGGGAGCCGGAGGGAAACCGAGUCUUAAUUGGGCGUUAAGUUGCAGGGUAUAGACCCGAAACCCGGUGAUCUAGCCAUGGGCAGGUUGAAGGUUGGGUAACACUAACUGGAGGACCGAACCGACUAAUGUUGAAAAAUUAGCGGAUGACCUGUGGCUGGGGGUGAAAGGCCAAUCAAACCGGGAGAUAGCUGGUUCUCCCCGAAAGCUAUUUAGGUAGCGCCUCGUGAAUUCAUCUCCGGGGGUAGAGCACUGUUUCGGCUAGGGGGCCAUCCCGGCUUACCAACCCGAUGCAAACUGCGAAUACCGGAGAAUGUUAUCACGGGAGACACACGGCGGGUGCUAACGUCCGUCGUGAAGAGGGAAACAACCCAGACCGCCAGCUAAGGUCCCAAAGUCAUGGUUAAGUGGGAAACGAUGUGGGAAGGCCCAGACAGCCAGGAUGUUGGCUUAGAAGCAGCCAUCAUUUAAAGAAAGCGUAAUAGCUCACUGGUCGAGUCGGCCUGCGCGGAAGAUGUAACGGGGCUAAACCAUGCACCGAAGCUGCGGCAGCGAACGUAUCACCCAAGACAACUUUACGGAGUUGACGAUUGACGGAGCGAAGCGACGUCAAAGCGUUCAUUAAAGUCGAGUUGGCUUAGGGAUACGUUCGUUGGGUAGGGGAGCGUUCUGUAAGCCUGUGAAGGUGUGUCGUGAGGCAUGCUGGAGGUAUCAGAAGUGCGAAUGCUGACAUAAGUAACGAUAAAGCGGGUGAAAAGCCCGCUCGCCGGAAGACCAAGGGUUCCUGUCCAACGUUAAUCGGGGCAGGGUGAGUCGACCCCUAAGGCGAGGCCGAAAGGCGUAGUCGAUGGGAAACGGGUUAAUAUUCCCGUACUUGGUGUUACUGCGAAGGGGGGACGGAGAAGGCUAUGUUGGCCGGGCGACGGUUGUCCCGGUUUAAGCGUGUAGGUGUGUGUUCCAGGUAAAUCCGGUUCACUUUAACACUGAGGCGUGACGACGAGGCACUACGGUGCUGAAGCAACAAAUGCCCUGCUUCCAGGAAAA